AUGCAGCGCUAGAUGGUGGCAGUGAACCCGAACACACUUCAUCACGAGAGGCAUCUUCGAAGCGACUGCAAAGUCAAAGGCCUGUCCGGUGCAAAAGUAUUGCUUCCUGUGGCAUCUUGGCGCCAAGGGACUAUGUUGAGGUGAGGACAGGAGCUUCAUUUAGUCAGGUCAUAGCACAGCGUAGUGUAAAAGGAGACAAACCAAAGUAGGCAGGAGGUUGACUGAUUCAGGCCAUAGCCAUGUCUAAAAGAAAAGUCGUGCUUUGCCACCAUCGCGUGUCAUUAAAG